AAUCAAUGUAAUGAUGGUAAUGUACUUAACAUGUGUAAAACCUUUCAGUUGGAGAACAGAAUGAUUGUGACAAGGACAUUUUCCAAGGCAAUCGUUAACUACAGAUGUCUGUCAAAAGACGAGGCUGAACUCUUGGUCCUCUUCAUUAUGGACAACCAUAAUAAAGUUUUCCAGAUCCCAGCAUAUUUGCACAAUCUGGUUAGUGAAAAACUAGCUAGUAUUCAACAGGGGAAGGUUACAGGCACAUUUCCAGAACCUGUCCAGCAAUCAACACAUUUUGAGUUACUUCAGUUGCUCAGGACCAUUGAUGCGGACUCAAAGUAUAC